CGCCGGCGCGGCGCCUGUCCCCUGGUCCCGGCGCCCCCGCUCGGGGCCACCGUAGGGUCUGGGGGCUCCGGGCGGGGGGAGGCGCGAUCCUCGUCCGUGGGAGCCUCCCCAGCCCCGCAGUCCCAGCAGCAAACCGAGCUUGGUCGGACGGAUGCUCGCGUUGAGAAAGGUGAUUCAGUCCGUGGCUCAAAAUUCAACAUGACCAAAAUGCACACAGGGAGAGAGAGAGUGUGAGCAGGGGAG